UACGUAGGGGGCAAGCGUUGUCCGGAUUUAUUGGGCGUAAAGAGCUCGUAGGCGGUCUGUCGCGUCUGCUGUGAAAACUCAGGGCUUAACCCUGAGCUUGCAGUGGGUACGGGCAGACUAGAGUGCGGUAGGGGAGACUGGAAUUCCUGGUGUAGCGGUGAAAUGCGCAGAUAUCAGGAGGAACACCGGUGGGCGAAGGCGGGGUCUCUGGGCCGUAACUGACGCUGGAGGAGCGGAAAGCAUGGGGAGCGAACAGG
rnacentral:rRNA from 1 species